rnacentral:lncRNA from 1 species
CACAAACAAGCCUUCAUCUAUUUAUCAUAGUUCAUGGUCUGGUCAUGUCCCCUGCCAAAGCUUUUCUGGGAAGCCGUAAGACGAAAAUGAUUUGCUGGCCUAGCUUCUGACUUGACUUCAUUCCUCUCUGUGGGGGAUCACUUUACAUUUUCUUAAUUGCAGGGACAGCUUGUGUGGUUGGCAGUUGUUUGAAUUGAGAAAUGGACUUUAAGGAACUACGGUUUCUUUGGCUCAGCUGGAAUUUAAGUAGUCAUAGACUAAAUUAACAGCCACGGUCAAAGCCCAGAUGACAGCUGUGUCACAGAAAAGGAAAGAGCUACAGUCUUGUCAUGUUGCCCAGGCUGGUCUUGAACUCCUGACUUUGUGCAGUCCUCCCACCUCAGUCUCUUCAAGUGCUGGGAUUACAG